CAGUAGCCGCGGUAAUACGUAGGUCACGAGCGUUGUCCGGAUUUAUUGGGCGUAAGGCGAGCGCAGGCGGUUAGAUAAGUCUGAAGUUAAAGGCUGUGGCUUAACCAUAGUACGCUUUGGAAACUGUUUAACUUGAGUGCAAGAGGGGAGAGUGGAAUUCCAUGUGUAGCGGUGAAAUGCGUAGAUAUAUGGAGGAACACCGGUGGCGAAAGCGGCUCUCUGGCUUGUAACUGACGCUGAGGAGCGAAAGCGUGGGGAGCGAACAGGAUUAGAUACCCCAGUAGUCCCUGUCUCUUAUACA
rnacentral:rRNA from 1 species